UUUUGACUAAACUAUACCUAUAUGACAACAGUUAUUUUCUAUGGCUAAUUUCAAUUAAAUGAAAGUUAACAUUGAUCGGUCACGAGGAUGCAGAAGAAGGUAGCAAUGAUAACGACAGCAGUUGCCCUUGUGUUCUGCAUCAGUGCAAUAAUAUCAGCUGUUGUCUUCCAUGAUCAUCACCAUCGCAAGAUUUUUAUUGGUAGUAUCGGACUGGUAGCCUCUGUUGCUAUGUAUGGCAGUCCGCUGGUGGUUGUGGUAAGUCAUCUUCUCUUCCCAAUCAUUUAUGUUAUUGUUUCCCGUGAAUUUCAACAACCUGCAUCACAUGUUUACAUUGUCAGUUACACAAUGAUAUGAUUCACAAUUGCAGAAGCAAGUCCUACAAACUAAGAGUGUGGAAUUCAUGCCCUUCUACUUAUCCUUCUUCUCAUUCCUUGUUUAGUUUGCUUUGGCUGGCUUACGGAUUACUAAGCCACGACCUUCUUCUUGUGGUUUGUUACAUGAUAACUAAAACUUGAUUGUCUUAACAAAUAAAAAAUUAUCACUUUCUAACAUAGAUAUCAGUAUCAUGGCAGUCACCCAAUCUGGUUGGUAGUACUUUAGGGAUCCUGCAGCUUGUGCUCUAUUUCAAGUACAGAAAAAGAGGAAUUAUGGAAGAGCCACAUAAAUGGGAUGUAGAGAAAAUCGAUGAGAAACCCAAAGAGCAGCUGCAAAAUAUGGUUACUGAUGAUUCCAAAAGCAAGGUUUGAAGAAAUAUUCUGGACGAAGUCUAAUUGAAAUCUCUUUCAGUCUUGUGAUUUACAAUGUAACUUCAAAAUAAACAAUAAUUAGUGUAUGAAUGAUGGAGUCAUUAUGUAUGUGUAGUAUGUACAUGGAAAACAUGUGUGCAUAUAAUAGUGUGUUAAGUGAAUGUUUUUAGAUCUUGUUAUUAGUAUUCAGAGUUUUGACAAGUUCAUUAUUGAAUCGUUUAUUUUAAUGGGCAAUAUAUUAGACUAGCUCAUCAAAGAGGGUAAUUACAUAAAUAUCACCCUGUAGGGGGGGGGAGUGCAUGCAUUAUAUUAUUCUUCUGAUUACUGAAGCAAGCUAGAAUAAGAAUUAUAAUUUUUAUUUAAUAAUCUAAUCAUGAACCUUUUAGUCAUGAUUGUACCAUACAGCUGCACAGUGUCUGGACUUCACUUUUUCCUCUUCCCUACCUUUUUUUUUUUUGAGGGGGGGGAGGGACUCAUUUUCCCUUUUUAGCCUCUGCACUGGACUCAGGGAGACAUCAUCA
rnacentral:lncRNA from 1 species